CACUUUACAAAAUCAUGAAAUUCCAAUGAUAAAAUCAAUUCUUUGGGCACAAGAAUGAAAAGAUAUUCUUGUUCAAAAGCCCACAUACUAAUUUCUCACGAAAUUCAUGUUAAGUUCUCAAAUCAUCGAAAAUUCAUCAAUCGUAGCACGACUAAGAUUAUCGUGGAACUGACCCAGCUCUAGACCAGCAGACUAUUUCGGGCAUACGUACCCCUAGAAAUCAAUAACAUAAGUAAUACGUAGUAUACAACAACGCAUACUCACAUGCCCACAAACCAUCAUGCACCAUGCAUUCAUUAAUAUCUCACACCAAUCAUUUGAAGAUCAUAUUCAUAUACAAGUAUUGGGAUCUCAUGCCAUUACAUCGUAGAUCAUUCAACAAGGAUGUUAUGGUUAAGGAAGAAUACAACAUAACAUAGUUCAUCCAAUCGGGAUACACACAAAUAACAUACAUUCAACACAUCAUGAUUCACUUCUCAAGGUUCUUUCCUUUAAGAUUUUGAUAUAUGCAAUUCGACCCAUAAUUAGACAUUUCACGCUUAGCGUAGCCUAAUGGCCUUACCAUUUUCCUCA
rnacentral:lncRNA from 1 species